ensembl:lncRNA
CCAGUUUCCAGUGGUAGAAGGCAGCUCUCAUCAACAGCAUGAGUGUGAACAAGCACAGCGGGAGCUGGACCUUAAUGUCCAUGCAUAAGAGGAAGGGAGUACUUUUGCAGCAACUCUUUAAAGAAAAAUAGAGAAGGCAUAUGAGCUUUGCUAACAACAUUUUGAGAUUUCAGAUAAUUUUAUAUGCAGUUUGUACUGACCAGUAGUACUGACUCUAUGAACGUAUUACUCAAAUUUCAAAGUAGUCAGUUUAAAAGUCCAGAAUUUAAACUAGAAAGAUUAGCAAAACUGGCAGCUAGUCAAGAUUAAGGCAAAUCAUAGUCUCAGCUCUUCAGGGAAUCAUGAACUUCAUAUAAUGGUGGUAGAGUAUCCACUUUCAACAACAAAAUACUGUACUUCUAUACAGGAUAUCUGAAAAAGCUUCUCACUACUGCAGAUAAAUUGCCUUGGGCAUGAAGAAGGCUUAAUAUUUUUUCUUUGUACUCUUAAGUUAUUUUUUUGAAUUUAAUGAAGAAAUUGGUUCUUCAGAAACUUAUCACAUGUUUUUUAUGUGUCUCUCCAAGACUCCAAGGUGGAACACUCUCAAAGGACCUUCUAAGCUCCACGUCUUUCUCAUGCUGGGAGCACCAGGCCCAGAUGCAGUACCCAGAUGGGACCUCAUAAUGCAGAGAAGAGGGCUACAAUCACCUCCCUCUCCCUGCUGGCCACCCUUGUGAUGCAACCCAG